rnacentral:rRNA from 1 species
UACAGAGGGUGCGAGCGUUGUCCGGAAUUACUGGGCGUAAAGCGUGCGCAGGCGGUUAUGUAAGACAGUUGUGAAAUCCCCGGGCUCAACCUGGGAACUGCAUCUGUGACUGCAUAGCUAGAGUACGGUAGAGGGGGAUGGAAUUCCGCGUGUAGCAGUGAAAUGCGUAGAUAUGCGGAGGAACACCGAUGGCGAAGGCAAUCCCCUGGACCUGUACUGACGCUCAUGCACGAAAGCGUGGGGAGCAAACAGG